rnacentral:rRNA from 1 species
UGCGUAGGCGGUUUAUUAAGUCAGAUGUGAAAGCCCCGGGCUUAACCUGGGAACUGCAUUUGAUACUGGUAGACUAGAGUAUGGUAGAGGGGGUAGAAUUCCUAGUGUAGCGGUGAAAUGCGUAGAUAUUAGGAGGAAUGCCAGUGGCGAAGGCGGCCCCCUGGACCAAUACUGACGCUGAGGUACGAAAGCGUGGGUAGCGAACA